rnacentral:rRNA from 1 species
GACAGAGGGUGCAAGCGUUGUUCGGAAUUACUGGGCGUAAAGCGCGUGUAGGCGGCUUCGCAAGUCGGAUGUGAAAGCCCCGGGCUCAACCCGGGAAGUGCACUCGAUACUGCGGAGCUUGAGUGUGGGAGAGGUUGGUGGAAUUCUCGGUGUAGAGGUGAAAUUCGUAGAUAUCGAGAGGAACACCGGCGGCGAAGGCGGCCAACUGGACCACUACUGACGCUGAGACACGAAAGCGUGGGGAGCAAACAGG